UACAGAGGUCUCAAGCGUUGUUCGGAUUCAUUGGGCGUAAAGGGUGCGUAGGCGGCGCGGUAAGUCGGGGGUGAAAUCUCGGAGCUUAACUCCGAAACUGCAUUCGAUACUGCCGUGCUUGAGGACUGGAGAGGAGACUGGAAUUUACGGUGUAGCGGUGAUAUGCGUAGAUAUCGUAAGGAAGACCAGUGGCGAAGGCGGGUCUCUGGACAGUUCCUGACGCUGAGGCACGAAGGUCAGGGGAGCAAACGGG
rnacentral:rRNA from 1 species